GUCACACCCUGUGCAGGACUCAGUCCCAGUCAGGACACAGCAUGGACAUGAGGGUCCCCGCUCAGCUCCUGGGGCUCCUGCUGCUCUGGCUGCCAGGUGCCAGAUGUGACAUCCUGAUGACCCAGUCUCCAUCCACCCUGUCUGCAUCUCUGCAAGGCAGCGUGACCAUCAACUGCCAGGCCAGUCAGGGCAUUAGCAAUUAUUUAGCCUGGUAUCAGCAGAAACCAGGGCAAGCUCCUAAACUCCUGAUCUAUUAUGCAACCAAUUUGGCAUCUGGGGUGCCCUCCAGGUUCAGCGGCAGUGGGUCUGGGACAGAUUUCACUCUCACCAUCAGCAACCUGCAGCCUGAAGAUGUUGCAACUUAUUACUGUCAGCAGCAUCACAGUAGGCCUCCCACAGCGAUACAAGCCAUAACAAAAACCUCCCAGGAAGCAGAAGUGAAAGCUUAG